rnacentral:rRNA from 1 species
UACAGAGGGGGCAAGCGUUGUUCGGAAUUACUGGGCGUAAAGGGCGCGUAGGCGGCCUUCUAAGUCGAACGUGAAAUCCCUGGGCUCAACCCAGGAACUGCGUCCGAUACUGGAAGGCUUGAAUCCGGGAGAGGGAUGCGGAAUUCCAGGUGUAGCGGUGAAAUGCGUAGAUAUCUGGAGGAACGCCGGUGGCGAAGGCGGCAUCCUGGACCGGCAUUGACGCUGAGGCGCGAAAGCCAGGGGAGCAAACGGG